CACCUGAGCAUUUAGCUGGUAGCUUUUAAAGCCUUUCUAGGGGUUUUAACUGCUCACUUCCUGCUGUUUCUAAUGGAGCCAAGCAGUUAAAUCCUGAACUUGAAACCCUGAAAAGGUCAAAGGCAGUUACAUUGCAGGUGUGUGGUGUUCCGAGGCUGUCCCUGUGCCUGCAGGAGCAGUGGUGACAGUGUUUAGUGCACAAGCUGCCUCUGCUGAGCCCUUCCUCAAUCCUGUGUGACACUGAUUUAUUAGCAGGGCCAUCAGACAUGUGCUGCUCAAAGGACCAUCCUCACCCUGUUGCGGGAAGAGAACGCACGACACAAGUUUACCCAGGAAGAAAUUGCUAUUCACCCUGAGGGACUCAGAGCUGAGCAUAAAACCAAACAAGAGGACUUUACAACUCUGCCACUCACUGUAUCAUCCUGUGCAACAACUGGGUGCAGCCAUUUCUCUAAAAAGUGCCUGUGGGAAGCAGCCAUUGUCUGGUGUGGUGGGUACAGCAUUACUGCACAGACAACUACAGAGGUCCCAGUUUGUUCCUGUAGCCAGGUUGGGAGCUGAGCUUGAGCUGGUGUUCAUGAAGUGUCCUCUACCAACCUGAGUUACAUUUUUGUACUUCCAAGACUCCCUGCAGAAGAGAG
rnacentral:lncRNA from 1 species